UAAUAAGUGUUUUAUGGCACUUUUUAAAUCCAUAUCCACCUUGUGUGCAAUGUCAGUCGAUCUUCUUCAUGGAGAUCGACCAAACAUCAACCUUUAUCUUUUAACUCUUUGUCUGAAAAAUAUUAUGAAUAAACAGUCCAAAAUA
rnacentral:misc_RNA from 1 species